UUUCCGGUUGAUCCUGCCGGCGGCCACCGCUAUAGGAAUUCGAUUAAGACAUGCGAGUCGAGAGUCUUCGGGACUCGGCGGACUGCUCAGUAACACGUGGAUAACAUGCCCUUAGGAGGGGGAUAAUCUCGAGAAAUUGAGGAUAAUACCCCAUAGGCCAUGAAUGCUGGAAUGCUUUAUGGCCCAAAGCUCCGGCGCCUAAGGAUUGGUCUGCGGCCUAUCAGGUUGUAGUGGGUGUAACGGACCCACUAGCCUAUGACGGGUAUGGGCCUUGAGAGAGGGAGCCCAGAGAUGGACUCUGAGACACGAGUCCAGGCCCUACGGGGCGCAGCAGUCGCGAAACCUUCACACUGGGGGAAACCCUGAUGAGGGAAUUCCUAGUGCCUGCAUUUUUUGUAGGCUUUUAUCUAGUGUAGAUAGCUAGAAGAAUAAGGGCCGGGUAAGACGGGUGCCAGCCGCCGCGGUAAUACCCGCGGCCCAAGUGGUGGUCGAUAUUAUUGAGUCUAAAACGUCCGUAGCCGGUUCAGUAAAUCUUUGGGUAAAUCGGCCAGCUUAACUGACCGAAUUCCGAAGAGACUGCUGAACUUGGGACCGGGAGAGGCCAGAGGUACUUCUGGGGUAGGGGUAAAAUCCUGUAAUCCUAGAAGGACCACCGGUGGCGAAGGCGUCUAGCUAGAACGGAUCCGACGGUGAGGGACGAAGCCCUGGGGCGCAAACGGGAUUAGAUACCCCGGUAGUCCAGGGUGUAAACGCUGCAGGCUUGGUGUUGGGGGUCCUUCGGGGGCGCCCAGUGCCGGAGAGAAGUUGUUAAGCCUGCUACUUGGGGAGUACGUCCGCAAGGAUGAAACUUAAAGGAAUUGGCGGGGGAGCACAA
rnacentral:rRNA from 1 species